rnacentral:tRNA from 1 species
GCCCCCGUAGCUCAGCAGGAUAGAGCAGUUCCCUCCUAAGGAAAAGGCCGUGCGUUCGAAUCGCGCCGGGGGUACCA